rnacentral:rRNA from 1 species
UUGAAAGAGCAACUGAAGAAGGGCCUUAUGACAUGCAUUCAAGGUGAGAAAAACCUCAAUGACCUUUUGAGCAAUCAAAAGGAAGUUGUGGCCAAGGAGGGAGUUGGAUUUGCACCCAAGUCCAAGAACAAGAAGAAGAGCGACAAGACCAAACGACCUCCCCCUCUCAAGCAAACAUUUGUGAAGGAGGGAGAGGGUGCUUCUAAGGAUAAGAAGAACAAUGUGAAGGGUGGUGAUGUCAAAAAGGGCAAUGCCACCCUUUCCAACAAAGCCGGCGACUUUAACCCUUCUUAUGUGUUAUGUCGU